AAAAAGAUAAGCUAAUUAAGCUCUUGGGCUCAUACCUCAUUCAUAAAGGUUUUAAUCCUUUUCUUUUUA
rnacentral:tRNA from 1 species